rnacentral:rRNA from 1 species
GAUGAACGCUGGCGGCGUGCCUAAUACAUGCAAGUCGAGCGAAUGGAUUAAGAGCUUGCUCUUAUGAAGUUAGCGGCGGACGGGUGAGUAACACGUGGGUAACCUGCCCAUAAGACUGGGAUAACUCCGGGAAACCGGGGCUAAUACCGGAUAACAUUUUGAACCGCAUGGUUCGAAAUUGAAAGGCGGCUUCGGCUGUCACCUAUGGAUGGACCCGCGUCGCAUUAGCUAGUUGGUGAGGUAACGGCUCACCAAGGCAACGAUGCGUAGCCGACCUGAGAGGGUGAUCGGCCACACUGGGACUGAGACACGGCCCAGGCUCCUACGGGAGGCAGCAGUAGGGAAUCUUCCGCAAUGGACGAAAGUCUGACGGAGCAACGCCGCGUGAGUGAUGAAGGCGUUCGGGUCGUAAAACUCUGUUGUUAGGGAAGAACAAGUGCUAGUUGAAUAAGCUGGCACCUUGACGGUACCUAACCAGAAAGCCACGGCUAACUACGUGCCAGCAGCCGCAGUAA